UUCUCAAAAUAUAUGGGAAAAUUCAAGGAA
rnacentral:piRNA from 1 species